rnacentral:rRNA from 1 species
AGUGAACGCUGGCGGUAGGCCUAACACAUGCAAGUCGAACGGCAGCACAGGAGAGCUUGCUCUCUGGGUGGCGAGUGGCGGACGGGUGAGGAAUACAUCGGAAUCUACUCUGUCGUGGGGGAUAACGUAGGGAAACUUACGCUAAUACCGCAUACGACCUACGGGUGAAAGCAGGGGAUCUUCGGACCUUGCGCGAUUGAAUGAGCCCAUGUCGGAUUCGCUAGUUGGCGGGGUAAAGGCCCACCAAGGCGACGAUCCGUAGCUGGUCUGAGGGGAUGAUCAGCCACACUGGAACUGAGACACGGUCCAGACUCCUACGGGAGGCAGCAGUGGGGAAUAUUGGACAAUGGGCGCAAGCCUGAUCCAGCCAUACCGCGUGGGUGAAGAAGGCCUUCGGGUUGUAAAGCCCUUUUGUUGGGAAAGAAAUCCAGCUGGCUAAUACCCGGUUGGGAUGACGGUACCCAAAGAAUAAGCACCGGCUAACUUCGUGCCAGCCGCCGCAGUAA